rnacentral:rRNA from 1 species
AAUUUGAAAUCUGGCGUCCAUCGUCCGAGUUGUAAUUUGGAGGGGUAUCUUCGGAAACGACGCCGCUCUAUGUUCCUUUGAACAGGACAUCACAGAGGGUGAGAAUCCCGUUCUUGGGCGGUUCGUCGCGACCAUGUGAAGUGCCUCCGACGAGUCGAGUUGUUUGGGAAUGCAGCUCAAAAUGGGUGGUAAAUUUCAUCUAAAGCUAAAUAUUGGCGAGAGACCGAUAGCGCACAAGUAGAGUGAUCGAAAGAUGAAAAGAACUUUGAAAAGAGGGUCAAACAGUACGUGAAAUUGUUGAAAGGGAAGCGCUUGAGAUCGAACUCAGUCGGUGGUGCACAGUCGAGCUUCUGCUCGGAUCACUGGUCAUCGACUGGGCCAGCAUCGGUUCUGACGGCGGGAUAAAGGGUCGGGAAACGUGGCUCGCCUCGCGCGAGUGUUAUAGUCCCGUGCCGUAAUACCGCCAGUCCGGGACCGAGGACCGCGCUUCGGCUAGGAUGCUGGCGUAACGGUCUUAAGCGACCCGUCUUG